GCAGCAGCCACGGUAAUACAGAGGGUGCGAGCGUUAAUCGGAUUUACUGGGCGUAAAGCGUGCGUAGGCGGCUUCUUAAGUCGGAUGUGAAAUCCCUGAGCUUAACUUAGGAAUUGCAUUCGAUACUGGGAAGCUAGAGUAUGGGAGAGGAUGGUAGAAUUCCAGGUGUAGCGGUGAAAUGCGUAGAGAUCUGGAGGAAUACCGAUGGCGAAGGCAGCCAUCUGGCCUAAUACUGACGCUGAGGUACGAAAGCAUGGGGAGCAAACAGGAUUAGAUACCCCGGUAGUCCCUGUCUCUUAUAC
rnacentral:rRNA from 1 species